rnacentral:rRNA from 1 species
CCUACGGGGGCUGCAGUGGGGAAUAUUGGACAAUGGGCGAAAGCCUGAUCCAGCCAUGCCGCGUGUGUGAAGAAGGCCUUCGGGUUGUAAAGCACUUUCAGUGGGGAAGAAAGCCUUGGGGCUAAUACCCUCGAGGAAGGACAUCACCCACAGAAGAAGCACCGGCUAACUCCGUGCCAGCAGCCGCGGUAAUACGGAGGGUGCGAGCGUUAAUCGGAAUUACUGGGCGUAAAGCGCGCGUAGGCGGUCUGAUAAGCCGGUUGUGAAAGCCCCGGGCUCAACCUGGGAACGGCAUCCGGAACUGUCAGGCUAGAGUGCAGGAGAGGAAGGUAGAAUUCCCGGUGUAGCGGUGAAAUGCGUAGAGAUCGGGAGGAAUACCAGUGGCGAAGGCGGCCUUCUGGACUGACACUGACGCUGAGGUGCGAAAGCGUGGGUAGCAAACAGGAUUAGAUACCCCGGGUC